ncrna:unclassified sequences IMES-2 RNA motif
AAAUGAAUUAAGAGGCAACUCUUAACUGGCCGACUGGUGAAAAACCGAGAGGUUCAAGACCAGGGGGCAGAAAGUUCUGCAAAGCAGCGCUAAACAUGCAGAACGGGACGACAUGGCGGUAGCGCAUACAACGACGUGUCAA